UUGACGAGGUACCAGAUACGGAAUGAGUACGGCUUGGCCGAUCCGGAGCUCUACAAAGCCGUGGAUAGAGAUGAUCCAGAGGCCUUACUGGAAGGUGUCGCCAUGCUCGGACUCGUAGGCGUCUUGCGCCAGCUCGGCGACCUUGCAGAGUGUUUCAACAAUAGGAGCUAUUAUUAUCACUGCUUCUUACCAAGUUGCUUGCUGGCUAGCUUGUUCCAGUUGAUGCUGCUGUAAGUUCAAACAUGAUGGAUAAUCAGUGCGGGGUUACAACAAUUGCAGGGGGGAAAUUGGACCAAGUGAAGAUGAGAGCAUAUAACUUUUGCUCAUACUAAUUUGAUGGUGUGAGUAUGCUCGCUAUGAAUAUAGGGAGAAGUGGAAAACCUAUCUUUAAAAAGCACAUUUCUGGCCAAGUUUGUCGUGGUGGUUUUGUUCUAAAAACAAUGAUCCAGGUUUGAAGGCUGCUUAUAAACUGGACAAUCAUGUGGAAGAUGGAGCAGUGACGAAAGCUUUUGAAGUGAUAGAGAGAAAUUUGUUUAGCUAGAAGUUGUACUGAGGCUAGAAGUUGGUCUUUUUUGGGUUGGCCUUAAUUGCAGUUCUCCUAUAGAUGUGAUUAUGUGACAUUUUUAGGUACAUUUCUGGAUGUAUUUUGCUAUAAGAGUUUCAAAGAUGUGAUCCCUUAUUUUGUGGAUACAAUUAGCAUUAUCGGAUCCAUUUAGAUUGCUAUGGGAUUAUAACAGCUUUCUAUUAUGAUUAAAUUACUAUUCUUUUGGUCA